rnacentral:rRNA from 1 species
AGAGCGAACGCUGGCGGCAAGCCUAACACAUGCAAGUCGAGCGCCCCGCAAGGGGAGCGGCAGACGGGAGAGUAACACGUGGGAACGUACCCUUUGGUUCGGAACAACACAGGGAAACUUGUGCUAAUACCGGAUAAGCCCUUACGGGGAAAGAUUUAUUGCCAAAGGAUCGGCCCGCGUCUGAUUAGCUUGUUGGUGAGGUAACGGCUCACCAAGGCUACGAUCAGUAGCUGGUCUGAGAGGAUGAUCAGCCUCACUGGGACUGAGACACGGCCCAGACUCCUACGGGAGGCAGCAGUGGGGAAUAUGGACAAUGGCGCAAGCCUGAUCCAGCCAUGCCGCGUGGAUGAUGAAGGCCCUAGGGUUGUAAAGUCCUUUGACGGGGAAGAUAAUGACGGUACCCGUAGAAGAAGCCCCGGCUAACUUCGCGCCAGCAGCCGC